GCCUUAACCGAAACUGAUUUGUCAAACGUGAAUUGUAGUGACUUAUAUUAACCUUACUUGGACUAAAUAUGCAAAUAUGUAUGAUUUGAAUGAACUAGAAUGCAAAGUGAAUGUGUUGAAUGCAAGUGAUGUACUCAAUGAAUAUAAAAGCGCACUAGGAUCACGAAUCCCCAAGCAAUGCUCAAUUUAACCUUAAUUCCACACUUUGACAACACGAUGAGAUUUUGGAGAACCAAUACUCCUAAAUCUAUUCAAC
rnacentral:lncRNA from 1 species